CCUACGGGUGGCAGCAGUGGGGAAUAUUGGGCAAUGGGCGCAAGCCUGACCCAGCAACGCCGCGUGAAGGAAGAAGGCUUUCGGGUUGUAAACUUCUUUUCUCAGGGACGAAGAAAGUGACGGUACCUGAGGAAUAAGCCACGGCUAACUACGUGCCAGCAGCCGCGGUAAUACGGAGGUGGCAAGCGUUAUCCGGAUUUAUUGGGUGUAAAGGGCGUGUAGGCGGGAGGGCAAGUCAGAUGUGAAAACUAAGGGCUCAACCCUGAGCCUGCAUUUGAAACUGUGUUUCUUGAGUGCUGGGGAGGCAAUCGGAAUGCCGUGUGUAGCGGUGAAAUGCGUAGAUAUACGGAGGAACACCAGUGGCGAAGGCGGAUUGCUGGACAGUAACUGACGCUGAGGCGCGAAAGCGUGGGGAGCAAACAGGAUUAGAUACCCCUGUAGUC
rnacentral:rRNA from 1 species